AUAAAGAUUAGAAGAUAUCCCCACAUCAAAUCCUGAAGAUCUGCAUACUAUGGAUAUACCAAACACAAAACCUAAUCAUAUAAUGUUCACUCUACAGCAAAAUGAAGAUUUUGUGGAUCAUGACCAUCCUUGUUUGAUUUCUUUCCAACAAGAAGAUCAUACACCUGAUCUUUAUGAACAUGUUCCCAUUGUGGAUGGCAAGGGAAAAAGUAGUAUAAGAUAUCCUGAGAGCAGUACCAGGAAAAGAGGCGGAGACCGCCAACGGAAUAAGCCCGGUUUGGGUGAUGGCGGCGGUGGUGAUGGUGGUCCGGGAGGAGAUGGUGACAAUGACCAGAUGCAGAAGAAAAUGUUCCAUAGAGAGAUUGAAAGACAAAGAAGACAAGAAAUGACUAAACUUUAUGCUUCACUUAGGGAUUUACUUCCUCUUGAACUCAUUAAGGGAACCCGUUCGAUAUCAGAUCAUAUGAACCAAGCAGUGCAUUACAUAAAACAAAUGGAGGAAAAUGUUAAAGAGCUCAGUGCAAAAAGAGAUCAGCUCAAGAAGUUUUCAAACACUAAUGAAAACUCAACAAAUAACCUCCCUAAUACUGUUUCAGUCAGCUUCUGUAAUGAGGGAGUCCAGAUUUCAAUCAAUAGUUGCUUGAUAGAGGAGGGGUUCAUGCUUUCUGGAGUAUUCAACACUCUUGUUGAACAAGGUCUUAAUGUCACAAGCUGCAGUUUAACCAAAGUAAAAGAUCGAUUAAUUCACUCUAUUCAGACUGAGGCAAGUGAUCUUGCAUUGAUUGAUCUGUCUAUGUUGCAACAAAGGUUAUCCUUGGUAGCGAAUGCUCGGACAAAUUUCGAUUAAGAAUGCUGUAAUCACAACCUGAAAAGUAGCGUAGUUUGAUAUGCAUCAUGCUCGCGGUUUAUCUGUUAUAUACCACAUUCAUUUGUGUUUUUGCCGGUUCUAGUUUGUACGCGCGAUGUUUUAAGGAAAAUGAUUUAGCAACUACUGAACAAAACAUUUGGCAAUCCAGAUUGUCACCAUACCCAACACUCACAGCCACAUUUUAAUUAAUUAAGAUCACAAUUACAAUCUGAAAACAAUAUUUCAUGGAACUUGAAUACUUGCAAAUGCACUUUUCCAAGUUUUUUUUAUCAGUUGAUACAACAUAGUACCAAGGUUGAGUUUAUAUUACAUAAGCAUUUGCUCAUUGAAAUCAAUUUCU